GCGAGAGUGCGCAACAUCCCGCCCGUGAUGGCAGAUGUAAAUAAACGGUGGAACGGCUGUAAAAGAGUCUUGCCACUGGGUAAAAUCAGCUACUCAAACUUCGGAGACGCGGGCAACGCAGGUAUUAUCGUCAAAAGGGUCGGUUGCAGCCGGCCC
rnacentral:sRNA from 1 species